rnacentral:rRNA from 1 species
AGAUUGAACGCUGGCGGCAGGCCUAACACAUGCAAGUCGAGCGGUAGAGAGGUGCUUGCAUCUCUUGAGAGCGGCGGACGGGUGAGUAAUGCCUAGGAAUCUGCCUAGUGGUGGGGGAUAACGUUCGGAAACGGACGCUAAUACCGCAUACGUCCUACGGGAGAAAGCGGGGGACCUUCGGGCCUCGCGCCAUUAGAUGAGCCUAGGUCGGAUUAGCUAGUUGGUGAGGUAAUGGCUCACCAAGGCGACGAUCCGUAACUGGUCUGAGAGGAUGAUCAGUCACACUGGAACUGAGACACGGUCCAGACUCCUACGGGAGGCAGCAGUGGGGAAUAUUGGACAAUGGGACGAAAGCCUGAUCCAGCCAUGCCGCGUGUGUGAAGAAGGUCUUCGGAUUGUAAAGCAACUUUAAGUGGGAAGGAAGGUUGUAAACCUAAUACGUUGACAACUUUGACGUUACCGAACAGAAUAAGCAACCGGCUAACUUCGCGACCAGCAGCCGA